rnacentral:rRNA from 2 species
AAUCAAAGAAGGUAAUAAUCCUGUAGUCGAAAACAUAUUCUCUCUUGAGUGGAUCCUGAGUACGACGGAGCACGUGAAAUUCCGUCGGAAUCUGGGAGGACCAUCUCCUAAGGCUAAAUACUCUCUAGUGACCGAUAGUGAACCAGUACCGUGAGGGAAAGGUGAAAAGUACCCCGGAAGGGGAGUGAAAGAGAACUUGAAACCGUGUGCUUACAAGUAGUCAGAGCCCGUUAAUGGGUGAUGGCGUGCCUUUU